GCCAGGUCUUAGCUUCGCUUCAGCAAAUGCCACAACAGCUUUUUGAAGGUAGAAACAGACUAAAGUCCUCUGUGAUGUGAAUUCCAUUCUCAAGAUUCCCUGAGAAUCCUUGGAGAUCCUGAAAUACCAUUCCCAUCUGCCAGGUUUUGUCGCGGGGCCUGUGAAGACCCUCUCAAAGGCAGAAUCCACACAAUGGCCACUCAAAGCAGAGGGCCAACCUUCUGUGAUUCUACUUCUAACUUCAUUGCCCAGAGCGUCCUGUUGACCCUGACCCCUCAUCCCUUUACAACUAUGUCCACUGUAUAGUUGAGAGAUCUGUAUAUUUGAAGACAUCAGAAACAUACCACUACUGAAGACAUACCACUAUUGAAGAUGUACCAUUUUGGUUUCACUGAUUUAACAUAAUCCAACCCACAAGUACAGAAAAUACCAGCCCAGUGAAAUGACAACCAUCAUGCUUUCUUUACUAUUCAUGUAAUAAUAGAUACCAACCAUCUAUUUGGACCUAGUUUGGCAUUAGGCACUGUGGGGUAUUCCUAAGAAGAAUGUGAGUUGUGGUGUGUGCCUGUAGUCCCAG
rnacentral:lncRNA from 1 species